CUAGGGUGUGAGUGACUCCCUGCAUGAGGCAUCUGCACUUUCGAUGAGCCUUCUCCCCCAGCACUCCCAUGCCAGGCCCGCCCUCGCAGUCCACGGUACAAAAGAGAUGGAAUCUUGUUUGAGUGACGAAGUAUGGAACUGAAAAUUAGGAUAAAACAAAUCAAGAGCAAAAAUAAAUACUGCUUGAUCUCCACCAUAUGCUGAAUCUGAACAAAUCUAUAUUAUAGAAACUGUAAGGAGAACAGUGGUUACCAGAAGCCUCGGCUGCCAUUAGGAUUAUGAUUUUUCUUAAAAGAAGCAAAACACUGAGUUAACUUGAAGUGGAGACUUCUGUUGGCAGGACACUAUGAACUUUGGUAAGGAGUAAUAAGGAUGUAAGUGAGAGAAGCCAUGCAUCAAACAAUCGGAGAGUAACCAGAGCCUGUGGGAGCUGAGGAGAAGAUAA